rnacentral:rRNA from 1 species
CAGUAGCCACGGGAAUACGAAGGGUGCAAGCGUUACUCGGAAUUACUGGGCGUAAAGCGUGCGUAGGUGGUGGUUUAAGUCCGUUGUGAAAGCCCUGGGCUCAACCUGGGAAUUGCAGUGGAUACUGGGUCACUAGAGUGUAGUAGAGGAUAGUGGAAUUUCCGGUGUAGCAGUGAAAUGCGUAGAGAUCGGAAGGAACAUCUGUGGCGAAGGCGACUAUCUGGGCCAACACUGACACUGAGGCACGAAAGCGUGGGGAGCAAACAGGAUUAGAUACCCCCGUAGUCCCUGUCUCUUAUAC